UCCUGGCUCAGAGUGAACGCUGGCGGCAGGCCUAAUACAUGCAAGUCGAACGGCAGCACAGCAGAGCUUGCUCUGUGGGUGGCGAGUGGCGGACGGGUGAGGAAUACAUGGGAAUCUGCCCAGUCGUGGGGGAUAACGUAGGGAAACUUACGCUAAUACCGCAUGCGCCCUUCGGGGGAAAGCCGGGGACCUUCGGGCCUGGCGCGAUUGGAUGAGCCCAUGUCGGAUUAGCUAGUUGGCGGGGUAAUGGCCCACCAAGGCGACGAUCCGUAGCUGGUCUGAGAGGAUGAUCAGCCACACUGGAACUGAGACACGGUCCAGACUCCUACGGGAGGCAGCAGUAGGGAAUAUUGGACAAUGGGCGCAAGCCUGAUCCAGCCAUGCCGCGUGAGUGAAGAAGGCCCUCGGGUUGUAAAGCUCUUUUGUCCGGAAAGAAAAGCGCCGGGUUAAUACCCUAGUGUCCUGACGGUACCGGAAGAAUAAGCACCGGCUAACUUCGUG
rnacentral:rRNA from 1 species